rnacentral:misc_RNA from 1 species
AGAUGGGUAUAAGAGACAGGUGAGUCAUCGAAUCUUUGAACGCACAUUGCACCCUCUGGUAUUCCGGGGGGUAUGCCUGUUCGAGCGUCAUUUCAACCCUCAAGCUCAGCUUGGUAUUGGGUGUCACCUGGCAAUGGUGCACCUUAAAAUCAGUGGCGGUGCCAUCUGGCUUCAAGCGUAGUAAUUCUCUCGCUUUGGAUGUUUGGAUGUGUGCCUGCCAUCAACUCCUAAUUUAUCAAAAGGUUGACCUCGGAUCAGGUAGGGAUACCCGCUGAACUUAAGCAUAUCAAUAAGCGGAGG